rnacentral:rRNA from 1 species
AUACGGAGGGUGCAAGCGUUGCUCGGAAUUAUUGGGCGUAAAGGGUAGCUAGGUGGUCUUGUUUGUCUGUGGUGAAAGCCUUGGGCUCAACCCAAGAAGUGCCUCGGAAACGGCAAGACUAGAGUCCUGGAGAGGGUCGCGGAAUUCCCGGUGUAGCGGUGAAAUGCGUAGAGAUCGGGAGGAACAUCAGAAGCGAAGGCGGCGGCCUGGACAGGAACUGACACUGAACUACGAAAGCGUGGGGAGCAAACAGGAUUAGAAACCCUAGUAGUCC